UUCGCAAUUGAAACGGUACAAUAAUCUUCAAGGUCUGAGGCUAUCAAUCCCCAGAUUUACUACGAGAGAGGGAAGAGAAAUUUGCAGUCCACGAUCUCUAUCACCCAGGGACUUUCAGUUUCAGCCCACCCCAUUGAGAAAUCCUGGAUCUGCCCUUGCCCAGAUUUACUACGAGAGAGGGAAGGGAAAUUUGCAAUCCACGAUCUCUAUCACCCAGGGACUUUCAGUUUCAGUCCUCAGAUAAAAUACAGUCCACUCAGCUAGAAUUAGACACCAUGGACGCAGAAGCUAGCUCAGUCCCCUUUCUCUGAUCUUCGCUUUCCGCAAACUACGACACAAACGAGAGCGAGAGAGGUUGAUGGGCCUAGUUAUUACUUGGCCCAUUAAGCUUUACUUCUUAGACCCAGUCAGCUAAAGGCCUAAUAAUUUAUUUUUUAUUUGGAAAUGAGCCUAACUUACAGAGCUCGAACUAGGGUUAGGGCACACUGUUCUCUGAGAAUCAGAGAGAGUAGGAGAAGCUCCCCACUUUACAGGCAAGUACUCAUCUCUACACUUUUCGCUUUGAUUGAUAACAUAUUAGUAUAUGUGUGUGCAUCUUCAAGAAAUGAGGACUAUAUACAUCUGCAAGAGUCUCAUCUCACUCUCUCUCAACAAUUCUUCACAUCUCAACAAAACCCCAAUCUCUCUUUUCUCUCUCCUCUUCUUCUCUUCCUCUCCAAAAAGCCCCAAUGCGGUGGCUGAUUACUUGAUUGAGAGACACAAAUUUUCUCCUGAAACUGCUUCGAAAGUCUCUUUCUCUCCAAGAAGCCCCAAUCUAAAAAGGCCUGAAACGAUCGAUUCGAUUCUGUCAUUUCUCGAGGAAAGUGGUUUUUCGGAUACCAAUCUCGAGCGUGUCAUCAAACACGCGCCUCAACUUCUCUCUGCAAAUCUUGAGCUUUCCAUCAAACCCAAAUUCAAGUUUUUUCAAGAAUUGGGUAUUUCUUCUAGCGAUAUUGUGCAAAUUGUUUCGUCUGACCCUCGGAUUCUAACUCGCGUUGAUAGUCAGCUGGGCCCAUCGAUUUUAGCAUUGAAGAGCGUUUUGGUUUCGAAUAUGGACGUGUCUAGGGUUUUAAAGAGAUCUGGGCAUAAUUUGAGCCAGGAUUGGGCAAAAACUAUGAUACCCAAUAUUGAAUUUUUGAAGAGCUGUGGCAUUAGUUCAUCGCAAAUAACUCGACGUGUCUAUAAUUCCCCAACAUUUUGCUUUCUUAAACCAACGAGAAUUAGAGAAAAUGUGAAGAGGGUUGAUGAGAUGGGCUUUGACAGGAAGUCUAAGAUGUUUCUUGAAGCGAUUCGGAUUAUUAGUUCGAUGACUAAAGAGAAAUGGGAGUUGAAAUUGGAGGUGUUUAAGAGUUUGGGGUUUUCGGAAGAUGACAUUUUGUCAGUUUUUAGGAGAGCGCCUCAGUUAUUUGGUCUGUCAGAGAGGAAAAUUAAGGAGACAACACAGCUUUUCCUUCGCACAGGCAAAUGUGAUAUAUCGUAUGUUGUUAAUAACCCAGAAUUACUUUGUUACAGUGUUGAGAAUAGGACUAAGCCACGGCUAAGAGUUCUGGAGGUUUUGGAAAGCAGGAAUUUGCUUCUUAAAAAGCCGAGUUUGGGGACUGUAUGCAAGAUGACUGAUAAGAAGUUCUUUGAGAAAUAUGUGGUCCCUCAUUCAAAUGAAGUUGGCGAAUUAUUUGUGGCUACAAGGCCUCGUUGAAAGCAGAAAUAUGUGCUUAAGAUCAUGAUAUCUUUUAUGACUUACCUAGGGGCAGGCUGAGACUGAAUUUUUUUUUCCAGAGAGCAAAUGACUUCGAGGCAUAGCAUGGCAGGUAAGUAGGUACUCUUUUCUUCUAUCCAUAUGGUGUACUAAGAAAAACAUGGAUUAAUUUUCCAGCUGGCUGUCUAAUUUCAAAUGUGUUGAAAUAUAUCCUUAAUUUAACAUUUCUUUUUCCCUUUUUCAAUUUUUCAAUUGAGGCAUCAUGUUGAAUAAUCCUGAUAGGUAAUAUAUCUUGCCCAAGCUUUCUCAUUUUGUAUGAGGCAAUGAUAAUGGCCGUGAUCUUAUUCUUCACGUAUAAUUAUGUCAUUGUGCAGAAUUGUAUGCUAUUAUAAGUUUUGUUUAUCAUGUACAUUGGUACUUACAGUAGUCAUGCAUAUCUUCCAAUACAACCAUGAAUUGGGGAAGUAAGGUGCUUCUUACAGUAGUCAUGCAUAUACUGAAAAUUGGAUCAAGUGAGUUCAGCAGUAGGAUAAAUCCAACAAAAGGUAGACUAGAGAACCUCCUCACACAGCAAAUGUGACAAAACCCCUUUUUAAGUGGAUUAUUUGAUGUGAGAAAUUGGUUGAAAUUAAAUUUCAAGGUUUUGUUUUGUUUUGUUGUGGUGGUGGUGGUAAUAAAAGGAAUUGCAAGUUGAACCUAAUUUCACAAACAAAAUGUGCCAAUUUUUAGCUAUUUUUUCAUUCAAUCUAGAAUCAAGGUGGAAAAAAAGCCUACUUAGGCAGUGAGGGUGCCUAUCCUGGGUCGCCUUACAGAUGAGGAUGACCAUUUUUCACUUCUUAUAAUUUGUCUGAGCUUACCUCGUCAAGAUUUAUUCUAGUAGGUUACACUGUCGAUGAAAUAUACAUUAGUAAAGUGCAUAAUUUACUCCUAUAACAUUCUAAAUUCUAUUGAAAUGUCCCCCCAAUAGAGGAUCAUGCAUUUUUCAUUUAAUUUGUCCUUAAAUACUUGUAUGAAGUGGUUUCAACCAGUCCAUUGACCACACCAAAAUUCAAUCUAACCUGUUCCCAAAUUAUUAGUCUAUUUAUUUAUUGUUCUAACAAAAACUCAUACUGGCAUUCUCCUAUAAUGAAUUCUUCACAUUUUACUUUGGAAGGUGAGUGGAUGAGUAAAGAUCCCAAGAGAUUUCUCCUUAUCCUGUCUUUCUCUAUAGCAGUGAUCUUUAUUCUGCAAUCCUCCUGAACUAAAAAUGUCUUUUGGCAAUGGUCUUUCUAAAAUGCCCUUAACAAGAAACAUGAUGUGAUGCUCACAUAUACAGUCAUAGUACUAUGUGUGUGAUAUAUAUAUAUAUAUAUAUAUAUAUAUAUAUAUAUAUAUAUAUACACAUAUGUAGUUAAUUUAGUUGAAAGAUGCUCCCAACUUGUGCCAGAAUUAUUAAUUCCCUUUCUGUCCAUAGAAUUAAUGAUGAUAUGCAGGGGCAUUAAAGUAUUUUUCCUCAAAAUUUAGUUCUUUCUCAAAUUGUUAAAUAGUCCUGAGCCAUAAGUCAUUUGGUGGUUCAUUUGAGACCAAAUUUCAAUUGUAGUGAAACCCUUUCUCUAUGACAGUGAUCUUUAUUCUGCAAUCCUUCUGAACUAAAAAUGUCUUUGAGCAAUGAUGAAAAAGAUGGACAAAAGUAAUAACUUUCAUCAUAUAAGCCGUUGUUAACUCAUGAUUUUGGAUAGAUAUUCUAAAUCCCAUUUUAUAACUGUUCUCUCUUUUAUAGCAUACCCCAGGUUACUACUUUUAUAGCUUGUGUUCGGCUUCGGGGUGCACGCGGUUCGAAUUGGACUGGUUUGAGAAUAUUUUGGAACCCAACCAUUUAUAAAGGUUCCAUAAAAAUUGGAACCGAACCAAACCAUGUUCCAAUGGAACUGAACCAAACCAAACCAUAAAAAAAGGGUUUGGUUUGGUUGGGUUUCAUAGUUUUAGGGUUUUUUAUAAUUUAAUCUAAUAUAUAUAUACAAUUAAAAAUAUAUAUUAUAUAUAAUAUAAUUUUCUAUUAUAAUAUAAUUUUUAUUAUAUAUUAUGAUAUAUAUUUGUGUGGUUAAAGAGCUAAUCUUAUUAUUUUAUUAUUUAUAUAAUACAAAAUAUAAUACGAAAUAUAUAAAUAUAUAUACAAUUUAUAAAACGGUUCGGUUCGGUUCAGUUUGGUCUUGUAGAACCUCAAAUCGUAACCAAUCCGUUUGUAGACGGUUCCAUGUUUUUGAACCAUAACCGAACCGAACCGUGAAAAUGGUGAUUGAGUGUGUUUUUCCUUUCUUCUUUUUUUUUUUUUAUUUUUUAUUUUUAUUUAUUAUGAUGGCAGAAAACCUUGAAUAGAUAUGGAAAGAGAAGUUUAGAUGUUGUUUGCUUUUGUCACUAUAGCAGAGAAAAAGUAAUAAAAGAAAAUAGAAGCAUUAGGUACAUAGGUGGAAGCUAUUGCUAUAAAGACGAAUAUGACGUAUGAUGCGUUCAAAGAACUAUUUUGCUGACAAUUUUCAAUUGAUUUUCAUAAGAAAGUACCAUGGUAUGAAGGCAAUGCUUCUAGUAAAUCUGUAAAUGACAACAGAGUCAAUGUUUAUAUUGAUGAUGGAAUGGUUGUGGGGCUAGAAUCCUUUCCUAGUCAUGUCACCUUAAGGACACCAAAUGAAGAUCGUGACAACUCCCAGUUGUUGAGCAAUGGCAUUAUUGGCUUGAUACUCGGGCUAAGAGGACAGAUACUUGAUACUCGGGCUUGCCAUCUUUAUAACAAACCAACAGUGAUUACACAAUACAAAACCAUAUAAUUUAAUUCAUCUGAAGCUUAUAAAUGGUCUAAUCUCACAGCUUCUACUCUGUCAUGUCUUGGCGAUGGCACGACGGUCGGAUGUAUCUUCUUGAAGAUCGAAAAGUAGCAACCUUGUGGAUUUUCACUUUCAUGAUCUGCAAUUACCUCCCUUUUGGCCUUCUUUGAUGUUCUCUUCAUCUUCUCCUUGUGGAUUUUUCGCAUCAUGUAAACUUCAGCAAGAUCAGCACCGGCUAAAGACAUGGCCGGAAAAAUAAAGCCGGUACAGUGAAAUUGUGUGUGAGAAAUGGAUGUCUUGUGACAAUUGGAUUGAUUUUGUGAUGAUAAUGUUUUGGGAGGCCUUAAAGAAGCCAUUUAUACACAAGUAUAGGCUUGGAGAGCAAGCAAGUUUUGUCACUGCAUGUUCUUGGCUGUUUCAUUUCAUGGCGGCUUAGAAAUAAGAUUGAAGACUUUCUUGGGAAAAAUAUGUAGUGGGGUCACAUGAAAGUGUUCGUGCAUGACAUAAACAUGCAUAAAGUUGGCUUAGUGAUCAAGUCAUUUUUGGCCUAUUGCUCUUGUAGACUCAACGAUAUCCUUUUGACAAUUUUGCAUUUUGUGUUAGACACCAUUGCACGUUCCUAAUAGGUUGCGUAUUAAUUGACUGUUAUAUAUUGGACAAA